rnacentral:rRNA from 1 species
AUCGAACCCGGAGAUAGCUGGUUCUCCUCGAAAUAGCUUUAGGGCUAGCCUCAUGGAUCAUUGAUGGGGGUAGAGCACUGAAUGUGCGCGGGGGCCACAAAGCCUACCAAACGCUAUCAAACUUCGAAUACCAUACAAUGCAGACCAUGGGAGUCAGUCCGCGAGAGAUAAGUUCCGCGGGCAAAAGGGGAACACCCCAGAUCAACCGCUAAGGUCCCCAAGUUCACGUUAAGUGGAGAAGGAUGUGGAAUUGCACAGACAACCAGGAUGUUGGCUCAGAAGCAGCCACACAUUUAAAGAGUGCGUAAUAGCUCACUGGUCGAGUGAUUGUGCGCCGAAGAUGUCCGGGGCUAAACGUGACACCGAAGCGAUGGGUGCAUCUGAAGAAGAUGCGCGGUAGAGGAGCAAUGUGCAGAGGCAGAAGCCGUAUCGAGAGGCACGGUGGACACUGCACAAGAGAGAAUGCCGGUAUGAGUAGCGAGAGGCAUGCGAGAAACAUGCCCGUCGAAAGCCCAAGGUUUCCUGGGGAAGGUUCAUCCGCCCAGGGUAAGUCGGGGCCUAAGCCGAGGACGGAAGUCGUAGGCGAUGGACAGCAGGUGUAGAUUCCUGCACUACCGAUGGAAUGAAGCAGUGACACAGAAGGAUAACUCGAGCAGGGUGAUGGUCAACCCUGUGCAAGCAUCAAGGUUGGGUUGUAGUGAAGUACGCAAUCCUAUAAGCUGAGAUGUGAUGCGGACCGAAAUUUCAGUAGGGAAGCGAGUGAGUUCACGCUGGCGAGAAAAGCUGCUAGUACAUCCAAAGGUACCCGUACCGGAAACCGACGCAGGUGGGCGAGGAGAGAAUCCUGAGACGAACGGGAGAACCCUUGUUAAGGAACUCGGCAAAAUGACCCCGUAACUUCGGGAUAAGGGGUGCCUGCGAGAGCAGGCCGCAGAGAAUAGUCACAAGCGACUGUUUAGCAAAAACACAGGUAUCUGCGAAAGCGAGAGCUGACGUAUAGGUGCUGACACCUGCCCGGUGCUGGAAGGUUAAGGGAACAUGUUAGAGCAAUCGAAGCAUCGAACCGAAGCCCCAGUAAACGGCGGCCGUAACUAUAACGGUCCUAAGGUAGCGAAAUUCCUUGUCGGGUAAGUUCCGACCCGCACGAAUGGUGUAACGACUUGUGAGCUGUCUCAACAGGGGGCCCGGUGAAAUUGAAGUAUGGGUGAAGAUGCCCAUUACCCGCGACUGGACGGAAAGACCCCGUAGAGCUUUACUGCAGCCUGAUAUUGAGUUUCGGUAACUGAUGCACAGGAUAGGUGGGAGUCUGAGAGACAUGGGUUUCGGCUCGUGUGGAGACGAUGUUGGGAUACCACUCUUCGGUUACUGAAAUUCUAACAUAGCUCUGUGAAACCAGAGGAUGGACAGUGUCAGGUGGACAGUUUGACUGGGGCGGUCGCCUCCGAAAGAGUAACGGAGGCGCCCAAAGGUACCCUCAGAAUGGAUGGAAACCAUUCGAAGAGCGCAAAGGCAGAAGGGUGCCUGACUGCGAGAUUGACAAAUCGAGCAGAGACGAAAGUCGGGCUUAGUGAUCCGGCGGUAUUGAGUGGAAAAGCCGUCGCUUAACGGAUAAAAGCUACCUCGGGGAUAACAGGCUGAUCUCCCCCAAGAGUCCACAUCGACGGGGAGGUUUGGCAC